AUGAACGCUAGCGGCAGGCUUAACACAUGCAAGUCGAGGGGCAACACGGGUAGCAAUACCUGGUGGCGACCGGCGCAAGGGUGCGUAACGCGUGAGCAACAUGCCCUAUACAGGGGGAUAAUCCAGGGAAACUUGGUCUAAUAUCCCAUAGUAUUUAGAGGUGGCAUCACCACUAAAUUAAAGCUUCGGUGGUAUAGGAUUGGCUCGCGUGACAUUAGCUGGAUGGUGGGGUAACGGCUCACCAUGGCGAUGAUGUCUAGGGGUUCUGAGAGGAAGACCCCCCACACUGGGACUGAGACACGGCCCAGACUCCUACGGGAGGCAGCAGUGAGGAAUAUUGGACAAUGGAUGGAAAUCUGAUCCAGCCAUGCCGCGUGCAGGAAGACGGCCCUAUGGGUUGUAAACUGCUUUUAUAUGGGAACAAUAAGGUUUACGCGUAGACCGAUGAGAGUACCAUAUGAAUAAGCAUCGGCUAACUCCGUG
rnacentral:rRNA from 1 species